GUCACCGCACCCCCGGUUGCGUUCCUUCGCUUUUCCUUUCUAUUUCCAUUUCUUUUGCCUCUUCUGUCUCCAUUCUGUGUUCUCUUCCAUAGAAUUGUUUUUAAGAGAAUGAUGAGGAAGUGGUGGGGCGUGGUGGCGCACCCAAAGCUUUGAUGCCAGCGGAGAAGCCCAAGAGGAGGCUGUCUGGUUCUCAGUUAACCUGGUCAGCAUGGAAGAAACUGUAACUAAGGAUCCAAUGAUAACUAGUCUCGCAGACGUGAUGCGCCCCUCGCUUCCUCCUAAGCGUUGAGACACCACAGGGGACUCACCGAGCUGCCAGGGGCUCCACGACGACAGCGGCGCGACCGGGACCCCCAACAGGACUCGGCGAAGGAAACCGCGGGAGUUUUCGGGUCUAGGCCUUCGCAGAUCCAGGGUACUCACGCGUGAAGGCCUGGUUUGGGGCUGGGGUGGGGCUGUGGACUGGAGCCUUGGAGCCGCUCUCUGCCUGGUCUGCGAUCGCUGGAAAAGCUGAGGGGUCCGGGUGCGGUACUGGCGCUCAGGGAGGAGGAGCGAGUGGGAACCUGGAAGAGAGGGAACGCAAAGCGAGGAUAGAACUCGGCAGAGGCUGGUGGAGCCCGAACCCCAGACCUGAGGAGACCGUGCCUGGCGAGGCUUCGCGAAUGGGUUUCUGUGGACGCAGGAGGGCAGAAGAGCCAGCAGGGGAAGGAGCUACGGAACCCUUCACCUGUCUGAAUUUUUAACUAAGUCGACGAUCCUUACACUCACACACGAAUAUGCCGGGAUCCUCAAGUUACUUCGUAGCUCUUAGCAAUUUGCCUGUGACUCUGUGACUGCUGUUCGAAUCCGAGACCUGGGAAUGGGCUUUCUACGGAGCAACUGUGGUUUUCUUUCACUUUCCAAUCCCCAAGUCACUGCUUCAAUUACCAGCGACUACAGCGCGAGCAUCACUCAGGACUACUGAAGCAGAAGAAAGUAUGGAAACUGUCUGGUGCACACUCAAACAGGAGAACUUGGUAUUGGUGUAAUCAAUCUCGCUGCCAAGUGCUCUAAUGCCAUGGUGUGGCCAGAUUCGUUUUUUGGUUUUGUUUCUGUUUUGUUAUCUCAGAUAUCUCGAGCCAUAUCGACUUCUAGGCCAAGUUUGAAAUGAGAUCUGAGUUCUUACUCCAUGAGGUAUUUUAAAUAAUCUUAACAAUAUACUAAAAAUAAAAACCAAGACAUUUCCCUUCACAGUGAGUGAUUUGAGUAUUAAUUCAUACCGAUUGAAGAGCACGGGUAACCAGAGUGUAGCCUGA
rnacentral:lncRNA from 1 species